ACAAGACAAUAGAUACAAAAGGAAAAGUGUGACUGCUCUGACAGCAAAAACAAGCAACUAUCUCCAGAGGGGAUUAGUCCCUCUGCUUCAAAGUAACCAAAACAAAGACAGCCGAGCCAGCUUCCCUGGAACAACACCUGCCCAUCAAACAAGUAUGAGAUC
rfam:Vicugna pacos cont1.676510, whole genome shotgun sequence.